rnacentral:rRNA from 1 species
AACGAACGCUGGCGGCAUGCCUAACACAUGCAAGUCGAACGAGACCUUCGUGUCUAGUGGCGCACGGGGGUGUAACGCGUGGGAAGCUGCCCUUAGGUUCGGAAUAACUCCCCUAAAGGGGUGCUAAUACCGGAUAAUGUCUUCGGACCAAAGAUUUAUCGCCUUUGGAUGGGCCCGCGUUGGUUUAGCUAGUUGGUAGGGUAAAAGCCUACCAAGGCGACGAUCCAUAGCUGGUCUGAGAGGAUGAUCAGCCACACUGGGACUGAGACACGGCCCAGACUCCUACGGGAGGCAGCAGUGGGGAAUAUUGGACAAUGGGCGAAAGCCUGAUCCAGCAAUGCCGCGUGAGUGAUGAAGGCCUUAGGGUUGUAAAGCUCUUUUACCCGGGAUGAUAAUGACAGUACCGGGAGAAUAAGCUCCGGCUAACUCCGUG